UUUCCGUAGGUGAACCUGCGGAAGGAUCACUAGUGAUUAAAUCGAGCGUGUCUUCAUGACCGCUCACCCUUCUCACCAUCCACAUACACCUGUGCACUGUUUAGCCUGAGCCGGUUUUCCGGUCCAGGUUAUCAUUUCAUACAAACUCUAGUCUUAUGAAUGUAAACGUUUUAAUAACAUAAUAAAACUUUCAACAACGGAUCUCUUGGUUCUC
rnacentral:misc_RNA from 1 species